CCCUUUGAAAAGGGUGGAGCUACAGUCGCAAAGCUUCCUGAAGAUUUUGACACUUCUCUUUCAGCUUCUCCUUUCAGGAGAAGUUUAGCAACAGAAGACAAACCAUAAAUCAAGUCAAAUGAAUAAACAAAUCACUUGACCAACCAAGGGUGCUAUUAUUAUAUUGUUCAUCAUCAUCAUCAUUAUCAUCAUCAUCAUCAUCAUUAUCAUCCACAUAUUAUAGUGUUUAUAUCAAUAAAAAAAUCUGUCUUGCAUUUCUGAUGAAUAACUUCACUAAGAAUCAGAAACUUUAUUAAAAAUAUUUUUUACCA